rnacentral:rRNA from 1 species
GCAGCCGCCGCGGUAAUACAGAGGGUGCGAGCGUUAAUCGGAUUUACUGGGCGUAAAGCGUGCGUAGGCGGCUUCUUAAGUCGGAUGUGAAAUCCCUGAGCUUAACUUAGGAAUUGCAUUCGAUACUGGGAAGCUAGAGUAUGGGAGAGGAUGGUAGAAUUCCAGGUGUAGCGGUGAAAUGCGUAGAGAUCUGGAGGAAUACCGAUGGCGAAGGCAGCCAUCUGGCCUAAUACUGACGCUGAGGUACGAAAGCAUGGGGAGCAAACAGGAUUAGAGACCCCCGUAGUCCCUGUCUCUUAUAC